rnacentral:lncRNA from 10 species
ACAUUUUCUCGGCCCUGCCAGCCCCCAGGAGGAAGGUGGGUCUGAAUCUAGCACCAUGACGGAACUAGAGACAGCCAUGGGCAUGAUCAUAGACGUCUUUUCCCGAUAUUCGGGCAGCGAGGGCAGCACGCAGACCCUGACCAAGGGGGAGCUCAAGGUGCUGAUGGAGAAGGAGCUACCAGGCUUCCUGCAGCUCUCUGGCCCAGGGCUGGGUCAUCAGCACACCCUGCUGCUGCUGUUCAGAUCUGCAUCCUGGUCCCGCUUGGUCCCACAGUGAGAACGCUUUGCUAUCACAUGGGCAGGCUCUGAGAGCCCUGCCGGCCUGGCCUUCUCAAAGAAGACCUGAGAGCUUGGGACCCAAGCAGAGAGGAAGAACAGGGCUCAGGGUGCUUGCUCCAUGCUCGCUCCACACCUGGGGCUCAACCCUGGCUUUCCCCGGCUCCCUGUGUGACUUCAGGGCAGGUCCCUUGGGCCCUCUGGGCCUUAUCAUCUUCAUCUGUAACAGGGCGAUGCCUCUGCCGUGUCUGGUGGUGUUGAGGAGUUCCUGUUUGUGUAAGCAGCUAGUUCAGUGCCAGCACGAGAUGGGAGGCCCAUGAAGUUAGCAGUGCACAAAAAAUAGAGCAAAGACUGGAUGCAUUUCCUGAGAACAACCAUCACUGUAAAGCACUUUACAAAUCCAAAGACAACCCCCGGCAAAAACUCAAAAUGAAACUCCCUCUCGCAGAGCACAAUUCCAAUUCGCUCUAAAAACAUUACAAGUUAGUUCAUGUCAUGCCAGAUAGCUGAAGGCAGCUCACAAGUUCUUAAGGCCAGGAAUGCCAUGUGUCUGCUAUGCACAGCUGGCCCUGGCCCUGACAGCAAAGGUGACGCAGAUGUGGGUGCCCUGCUCCUGCCCAGCAGCAGUGCUUGGUGGAGGCUGAGGCCCUGCACAGGCACCCUCACUGCUGACCUUGAGCCUCUCUCUCCUCUAGAGUGGAAAAGACAAGGAUGCCGUGGAUAAAUUGCUCAAGGACCUGGACGCCAAUGGAGAUGCCCAGGUGGACUUCAGUGAGUUCAUAGUGUUCGUGGCUGCAAUCACGUCUGCCUGUCACAAGUACUUUGAGAAGGCAGGACUCAAAUGAUGCCCUGGAGAUGUCACAGAUUCCUGGCAGAGCCAUGGUCCCAGGCUUCCCAAAAGUGUUUGUUGGCAAUUAUUCCCCUAGGCUGAGCCUGCUCAUGUACCUCUGAUUAAUAAAUGCUUAUGAAAUG